rnacentral:snRNA from 1 species
GUUCUCGCUUCAGCAGCAGAUAGACUAACAUUGGAAUGAUACAGAGAAGAUUAGCAUGGCCCCUGCGCAAGGAUGACACACAAAUUUGUGAAGCGUUCCAUAAUUUU